rnacentral:rRNA from 1 species
AUUGAACGCUGGCGGCAGGCCUAACACAUGCAAGUCGAGCGAGCGGCGGACGGGUGAGUAAUAUAUCGGAACGUGCCCAGUAGCGGGGGAUAACUACUCGAAAGAGUGGCUAAUACCGCCUACUAUUGGAGAGGCCGAUAUAGGAUUGUCUAGUUGGCGGGGUAAAGGCUCACCAGGGCAACCAUCCGUAGCUGGUUUGAGAGGACGACCAGCCUCACUGGUACUGAGAAACGGCCCAGACUCCUACGGUGGGCAGCAGUGGGGAAUUUUGGACAAUGGGGGAAACCCUGAUCCAGCCAUCCCGCGUGUAUUAGAAGGCCUUCGGGUUUUAAAGUACGUUGGGCAGAGAAGCGGUAUCUGCAGAAUAAGCACCGGCUAACUACGUGCCAGCAGCCGCGGUAAUUC